GCACUCAAAACCACCCUAUUACCUACAGUAAUUUGCAUACACGUAAUACUACAAUAGUAUUACAUGUAUGAAAAUUACUGUAGGUAAUAGGGUGGUUUUGAGUGC